rnacentral:rRNA from 1 species
AGAGUUUGAUCAUGGCUCAGGAUGAACGCUAGCGGCAGGCCUAACACAUGCAAGUCGAACGGGGUGUAGCGAUACACUUAGUGGCGGACGGGUGCGGAACGCGUACGGAACAUGUCCUGGAGUGGGGGAUACCGGUUCGAAAGGAUCGUUAAUACCGCAUAAUGCAGCGGCAGCAUAAGCUGACAGUUGUUAAAGAUAUAUUGCUUCAGGGGUGUCGUGCGUGGGAUUAGCUAGUUGGUGGGGUAACGGCCCACCAAGGCGACGAUCCCUAGCUGGUCUGAGAGGAUGAUCAGCCACACGGGCACUGAGACACGGGCCCGACUCCUACGGGAGGCAGCAGUGGGGAAUAUUGGGCAAUGGGCGGAAGCCUGACCCAGCCAUGCCGCGUGCGGGAAGAAGGCCCACUGGGUUGUAAACCGCUUUUCUUCGGGGAUAAGACGGUAUUAGAUACCGGUUGAAGGUACUGAGGGAAUAAGCACCGGCAAACUACGUGCCAGCAGCCGCGGUAAUUC